AUCCACAAUGUACGAAAGUAUGAUGGUGCGACGCCGCGUGUGUGAUGAAGGCCUUAUGGGUUGUAAAGCACUGUCAGGGGGGAAGAACAAGCGCUGGGAUAAUACCCCCGCGCCCUGACGUACCCCCAGAGGAAGCUCCGGCUAACUCCGUGCCAGCAGCCGCGGUAAUACGGGAGGGUGCAAGCGUGACUCGGAAUCACUGGGCGUAAAGGACGCGUAGGCGGGUUGGAAAGUCAGGUGUGAAAUCCUACAGCUUAACUGUAGAACUGCACCUGAAACUUCUAAUCUAGAGUAUGGGAGGGGGAGAUGGAAUUAGUGGUGUAGGGGUAAAAUCCGUAGAUAUCACUAGGAAUACCUAAAGCGAAGGCGAUCUCCUGGAACAUUACUGACGCUAAGGCGUGAAAGCGUGGGGAGCAAACAGGAUUAGAUACCCCUGUAGUC
rnacentral:rRNA from 1 species